rnacentral:rRNA from 1 species
GGUUAAGCGACUAAGCGUACACGGUGGAUGCCCUGGCAGUCAGAGGCGAUGAAGGACGUGCUAAUCUGCGAUAAGCGUCGGUAAGGUGAUAUGAACCGUUAUAACCGGCGAUUUCCGAAUGGGGAAACCCAGUGUGUUUCGACACACUAUCAUUAACUGAAUCCAUAGGUUAAUGAGGCGAACCGGGGGAACUGAAACAUCUAAGUACCCCGAGGAAAAGAAAUCAACCGAGAUUCCCCCAGUAGCGGCGAGCGAACGGGGAGGAGCCCAGAGCCUGAAUCAGUGUGUGUGUUAGUGGAAGCGUCUGGAAAGGCGCGCGAUACAGGGUGACAGCCCCGUACACAAAAAUGCACAUGCUGUGAGCUCGAUGAGUAGGGCGGGACACGUGGUAUCCUGUCUGAAUAUGGGGGGACCAUCCUCCAAGGCUAAAUACUCCUGACUGACCGAUAGUGAACCAGUACCGUGAGGGAAAGGCGAAAAGAACCCCGGCGAGGGGAGUGAAAAAGAACCUGAAACCGUGUACGUACAAGCAGUGGGAGCACGCUUAGGCGUGUGACUGCGUACCUUUUGUAUAAUGGGUCAGCGACUUAUAUUCUGUAGCAAGGUUAACCGAAUAGGGGAGCCGAAGGGAAACCGAGUCUUAACUGGGCGUUAAGUUGCAGGGUAUAGACCCGAAACCCGGUGAUCUAGCCAUGGGCAGGUUGAAGGUUGGGUAACACUAACUGGAGGACCGAACCGACUAAUGUUGAAAAAUUAGCGGAUGACUUGUGGCUGGGGGUGAAAGGCCAAUCAAACCGGGAGAUAGCUGGUUCUCCCCGAAAGCUAUUUAGGUAGCGCCUCGUGAAUUCAUCUCCGGGGGUAGAGCACUGUUUCGGCAAGGGGGUCAUCCCGACUUACCAACCCGAUGCAAACUGCGAAUACCGGAGAAUGUUAUCACGGGAGACACACGGCGGGUGCUAACGUCCGUCGUGAAGAGGGAAACAACCCAGACCGCCAGCUAAGGUCCCAAAGUCAUGGUUAAGUGGGAAACGAUGUGGGAAGGCCCAGACAGCCAGGAUGUUGGCUUAGAAGCAGCCAUCAUUUAAAGAAAGCGUAAUAGCUCACUGGUCGAGUCGGCCUGCGCGGAAGAUGUAACGGGGCUAAACCAUGCACCGAAGCUGCGGCAGCGACGCUUAUGCGUUGUUGGGUAGGGGAGCGUUCUGUAAGCCUGUGAAGGUGUGCUGUGAGGCAUGCUGGAGGUAUCAGAAGUGCGAAUGCUGACAUAAGUAACGAUAAAGCGGGUGAAAAGCCCGCUCGCCGGAAGACCAAGGGUUCCUGUCCAACGUUAAUCGGGGCAGGGUGAGUCGACCCCUAAGGCGAGGCCGAAAGGCGUAGUCGAUGGGAAACAGGUUAAUAUUCCUGUACUUGGUGUUACUGCGAAGGGGGGACGGAGAAGGCUAUGUUGGCCGGGCGACGGUUGUCCCGGUUUAAGCGUGUAGGCUGGUUUUCCAGGCAAAUCCGGAAAAUCAAGGCUGAGGCGUGAUGACGAGGCACUACGGUGCUGAAGCAACAAAUGCCCUGCUUCCAGGAAAAGCCUCUAAGCAUCAGGUAACAUCAAAUCGUACCCCAAACCGACACAGGUGGUCAGGUAGAGAAUACCAAGGCGCUUGAGAGAACUCGGGUGAAGGAACUAGGCAAAAUGGUGCCGUAACUUCGGGAGAAGGCACGCUGAUAUGUAGGUGAAGUCCCUCGCGGAUGGAGCUGAAAUCAGUCGAAGAUACCAGCUGGCUGCAACUGUUUAUUAAAAACACAGCACUGUGCAAACACGAAAGUGGACGUAUACGGUGUGACGCCUGCCCGGUGCCGGAAGGUUAAUUGAUGGGGUCAGCGCAAGCGAAGCUCUUGAUCGAAGCCCCGGUAAACGGCGGCCGUAACUAUAACGGUCCUAAGGUAGCGAAAUUCCUUGUCGGGUAAGUUCCGACCUGCACGAAUGGCGUAAUGAUGGCCAGGCUGUCUCCACCCGAGACUCAGUGAAAUUGAACUCGCUGUGAAGAUGCAGUGUACCCGCGGCAAGACGGAAAGACCCCGUGAACCUUUACUAUAGCUUGACACUGAACAUUGAGCCUUGAUG